UUACCUAUCAGCUCAGCUGGUGGAGCAUGAGACUCUUAAUCUCAGGGUUGUGGGUUCAAGCCCUAUGUUGGGCAAA